GACUCUGGUGCCAGUUACCAUUUGUGUAUGCAUCAUAAUGCGGGAUCUCCAAAGCUGUUUGAAGGUGGUCAUGCCUUGGGAGUUCCUGCAGCACUGCUUCCUGGUUUCUCUGUGAAAAGUGCUUUUUCCUUUAAGAAAAAUAUAGAUAUUUGGAGAAGCAAAGCUCAGAAGUUGAAGAUGGUGCAACCAUUUGAUCUGUUUCUUUCAAAUCCCCACAUUUCUGCAUCAGGGAUCAUUGGUGCUGCUAUGACAACCUGUCUUGGAGAUAACUCGGUUAGAUCGCAAGUGGAUGAUUUUCAGGGUUUUAAAGGCUUAUGUCUUUAUACACCUGCAGUAAGAUCUGGCUUGUUGGCUGAUAUAUUUUCAUCUGUUUCAGUGACGGCUCAGCAUGGAAACUUCCAAAGACUAUUUCUAGAUCUUACUCGAUUUCAUUUUCAUUUGGAUUUUCCUUCUGGGUCCAAGUUUGUUUCGGGUGCUGCUAAAUUAGCGCAAGAUUUUUUCAAUUCUAGACAGCCAUCCGUGGAAGCAGUGAGAGCAAUUUGCCCCAAUGCAACCAUUUCUCUUCAACAGCAGAUUGCCGGACCCUUCAGUUUCAGAGUUGAUUCUGGAAUUGUAAUUGAUUGGCAGAACAAAGAUUGGCAUAUUCGAAUGCAUGAUCCAGUGUUUGCGAUCGAGUAUGCAUUACAGGUCCUUGGUUCAGCGAAAGCUAUUGCUUGGUAUUCCCCAAAGCAACAAGAAUUUAUGAUGGAACUUAGGUUUUUUGAGACCUAAAUUAUGAAUGUCUAGAAAUUCUUGUUGCUUUGGGGAAUACCAAGCAAUAGCUUUCGCUGAACCAAGGACCUGUAAUGCAUACUCGAUCGUCAGCUUUUCAUAAACUUACUGCUUGUAUGUGCAUAUUUUUUUAUCAAAUAUCAAAUCCAU
rnacentral:misc_RNA from 1 species